rnacentral:tRNA from 2 species
GAUUGUGUGGCCGAGUGGUCUAUGGCGCUGGUUUUAGGCACCAGUCUCUUCGGAGGCAAGGGUUCGAAUCCCUUCACUGUCA